CUGUUCCUCAGACAAACCUACAGGUUUUAUACAGAGUUUUGAAGCCUGUUGUAGACACACAAGUCAUUUAUUAACAGCCUUUUAUUGUGCUUUUAUUGAGUGAUGUGGUGGACACAAUAAACUAUCAUUUCAUGGAAAUGAUCUGUGAUCUUUUUGGAACUAAAACUUACAUCUUGCAAGUGACCGCUUUAGAACAUAUGGAAUACAUUUGUUUAGGGAUUUAGUGAUGGCUUUGUCUUCAGUUUUCUAGAAGGAUCUGUAGCAGUGAACAUUAAGAGCCAAGCCACGGUGUGGAAACGAUCAGAGACAUGGACAUGAUAUACAGCUAUGUCACCUCUCAGGUGGAUAGGUUCAUCUCAUUCUUCUGGAGGACAAGCAGCAGUUCAUCACCUGCAAACAAUUGGGAUGAGAAUGAGAAUCAGACAGAAGCAUCAGAGAAC